GACGAACGCUGGCGGCGUGCUUAACACAUGCAAGUCGAACGAUGAAGAAAAGAAUCGAAGCUUCGGCAGAAAUUCAUUACGGAUUAAUGGCCGACGGGGGAGUAACGCGUGAGCAACCUACCUCUUACAAAGGGCUAGCCCCGGGAAACCGGGAUUAAUACCAUAUAACAUUAUGACGAAGCAUUUCGAUGCAAUCAAAGCUACGGCGGUACGAGAUUGGCACGCGUCCCUUUAACCGGAUGGUGAGGUAACGGCUCACCAUAGGGACGAUGGCUAACCGGGCUGGGAGGGUGAACGGGAACACUGGAAGUGAGACACGUACCAGAUCCCUACGGAUGGCAGCAGUGGGGAAUAUUGCACGAUGGAUGGAACUCGAAGGCAUCGACGCCGCGUGAGUGAUGAAGGAAUUCGUUUCGGAAAACUCUGUUCUAUGGGAAGAAAAGGACGGUACCAUAGGAGAAAGCGACGGCUAAAUACGUG
rnacentral:rRNA from 1 species